rnacentral:rRNA from 1 species
UACGUAGGGGGCAAGCGUUGUCCGGAUUUAUUGGGCGUAAAGAGCGUGUAGGCGGCUAGGUAGGUCCGCUGUUAAAACUCGAGGCUCAACCUCGAGACGCCGAUGGAAACCCCCUGGCUAGAGUCCGGAAGAGGAGAGUGGAAUUCCUGGUGUAGCGGUGAAAUGCGCAGAUAUCAGGAAGAACACCCGUGGCUAAGGCGGCUCUCUAGUACGGUACUGACGCUGAGACGCGAAAGCGUGGGGAGCGAACAGG